GCCCUGAGAGGGGCGGCCGCGCUGCCCGACCCGCGGUCCCCGCAGCCCCUCGGCUGUGACGCUUUCCCCGAGCCCGCACCCGGUGUUUCCGGAGGCGGGAGACUCCCGCCAGCCAGGGCGCGCCGCCGGCUUCACAGGAGCCUCCCGGGCAGCGCAGCCCGCCCGCCUUUCCGUCAGGCUUUUGCGCCCGGCGCCCCCUCAGUGAUGGCGUGAAGAGGGUGGGCGUUCCGGUCCGGAGGCCCCUGCCGCGGCCCCGGAAACGUCUCUUCCCGGGCGGCCGCGGUGGUGGUCGCCGUGAUGCCUGCGGGGCUGGGUGGCUGACCACCGCGGGUGGAGCGGGCCCGGGUCCCGAAUCUCGGCGGCCGCUGCUCGAGCGCGGCCUGCGCCAUGGCCACCUCCGCCGCCUCCUCGGAGCAUUUCGAGAAGCUGCACGAGAUCUUCCGCGGCCUCCAUGAAGACCUACGGGGCGUGCCGGAGCGGCUCCUGGGGACUGGGGGCACAGAAGAGAAGAAGAAAUUGAUCAGAGAUUUUGAUGAAAAGCAACAGGAAGCAAAUGAAACGCUGGCAGAGAUGGAAGAGGAACUACGUUAUGCACCCCUGUCUUUUCGUAACCCUAUGAUGUCCAAGCUUCGAAACUACCGGAAGGACCUUGCCAAACUCCACCGGGAAGUGAGAAGCACGCCUUUGACAGCCACACCUGGGGGCCGAGGAGACAUGAAAUAUGGCACAUACACUGCAGAGAAUGAGCAUAUGAAUCAGCUACAGUCUCAGAGGGUAUUGCUUUUGCAAGGCACUGAUAGCCUGAACCGGGCCACCCAGAGUAUUGAGCGUUCUCAUCGGAUUGCCACAGAAACUGAUCAGAUUGGCUCAGAAAUUAUAGAAGAGCUGGGGGAGCAACGUGACCAGUUGGAACGUACCAAAAAUAGACUGGUAAACACAAAUGAAAACUUGAGCAAAAGUCGAAAGAUUCUCCGGUCAAUGUCCAGAAAAGUGACAACCAACAAGCUGCUACUUUCCAUUGUCAUCUUACUGGAGAUAGCCAUCCUGGGAGGCCUGGUUUAUUACAAAUUCUUUCGCAAGCACUAAACUUCCUGCACGGAAGCGUUUGUGGACCAGAACUUUGACCCUGAGAAUGAAUAGUGUUACAGAUGUGGAAUAAGUGUAUUGCUGCUGUGAGCUAACGGUUCAAGGAUGCACUGUGUAGCCAGACUGUGGGAAGAGGGAGGGAAGAUGGAAAACCAGUUAAUGUGAAGAAACAGCCACAAGACCAAUGUGAUAUACCAAGGACAAGACGGUUGAGCGUCACUGCAAAACGUUCUGCUGACAAACUUCAAGCUAUUCCAAUGUCUAAUAACCACAGGAAGAGAUAGCAAGAAUCCUGGGGAUAAAGUACUGCUCUUCAGAAUGUGAUCCUUUUUAAAUUCUUGAUACUUCACCUUGUUCCAGAAAGGAUUUAAAGGAAGAGGCAUCAGGCUAGUGACUAUGGCUCUGCCAGUUAUCAGUCCAGAUGUGUAGCUCCAUGCCUCAGACCCUGGGCUAGCAUCAUGAUGUGUGUUCUCCAAGAACCUCAAAUUGGGACGCAUUCCAAACUACUCUGGGCUGAGAGCCGAGGGCUGCAACAUCGCCUCUUGCCCAUCUUGCCACAGUGGGUCCAGUGCCACACGAGAUGCAAAGGAAAAAUUCCCGGCCCGUAACCUCUUAGAAGAGUCAAGAUGUCCAACCAAGUACAGUUUCCAAGCUUGUCCUACCUCAAGGACAGGGCUUGCUUAAGGCAAAAAUAAACCUUACUACAGUUGUUACAAGGAUUAAAUAAGAAAAAGCCCAUAUAUGCCAAGAAUUACAUAUCAGUUUAACUGGGUGAGGCAUCUUGGUGGUUUUUCUCCUGCAGGGGAAGAAAACGUUUCCUUUCUUCCCUUCUAGGUUCUUAGGCUGGUUAAAUCAACUCCCCCAAACAAUUGGAAAAGGGGGUAGGUGAUUGGGGCUUCAAAGGGAAAGAAGACAAUUCACAGGAAGAUGGGAAGACCCAACUUUUGGUAAACAAUUGUUUGCCAUAGUAGGCAGAAAUAGAGGACCUUGGACUUUGAACAAACAGGACCUCCCUCCAGCUUGCCACGCCUUGCCUAUACUCUUUGCAGUUAUCUCUGGCAAUAACUCUCUUCCUGGACCAGGCCUUCUAUCUAAAUUUAUUUGAGUAGUUAAAGGGGAAGUGAAAAGCUCUUGCUGAGUCUUCUGGGCCUUGAUUGACUUCUGAAAGUAAUACACAUGCCAAAGAGGCAAUUUUGGGGAGGCUUAUUCUGAACCCCUUCACUCUCACCCGACCCUUUUUCUUUCCCUUGAAACUGAUGGUGUAACCUAAGACUUCCCAAAACAUGUUUGUAAUAUGACUGUCAUUUUAAAAGAUAGACUUUUGGGUAAGAAUUAGAAAACAAAUACAGAUCCACUGAUUUCUCAUUGAAAUGGUUCCUAAAGAGUCCAGCUGUCACAGACAACUUGACCAAAAGGGGGAAACUGUGGAUGAAAAAGGGACUCUGUAGUAUGAUCAGUUGCUAGGGUGAUCUGAUCAUAAAUUCUUAGCUGGGAAGAUCAUGGUGGGUAGUCACACCCCUAGCCUAUAAAAUUUUUAUCUUUGCUUUAAGCAAAUCCUGUCCAUUGUUCUUGUGUAUCUUAAAAUGACAGAAGUCUUUUCCAAGCUUCCUUCCCGCCCUCAAGGGAGAAUAUCUUGUUAACUAUUCUGCAAUCCAAUCAUAGAGACCCACUCACACACAUACCCCACCUAGCUUUCUCCCACCUUCAUGUCAUCUUUCUUACAUUCCCUCCUUAAUUCCAAAUGUAUAAAAGCAACUGCAAAAUUGUCAUUCUCAAGAGCAUUUGAGAUCUUGCUUCUCAGCAACUGUCAUCAGUUUGGCUCAAAUAAAACAAACAAAAAUCUA